GAUGAACGCUGGCGGCGUGCCUAAUACAUGCAAGUCGAGCGAACGGACGAGAAGCUUGCUUCUCUGAUGUUAGCGGCGGACGGGUGAGUAACACGUGGAUAACCUACCUAUAAGACUGGGAUAACUUCGGGAAACCGGAGCUAAUACCGGAUAAUAUUUUGAACCGCAUGGUUCAAAAGUGAAAGACGGUCUUGCUGUCACUUAUAGAUGGAUCCGCGCUGCAUUAGCUAGUUGGUAAGGUAACGGCUUACCAAGGCAACGAUGCAUAGCCGACCUGAGAGGGUGAUCGGCCACACUGGAACUGAGACACGGUCCAGACUCCUACGGGAGGCAGCAGUAGGGAAUCUUCCGCAAUGGGCGAAAGCCUGACGGAGCAACGCCGCGUGAGUGAUGAAGGUCUUCGGAUCGUAAAACUCUGUUAUUAGGGAAGAACAUAUGUGUAAGUAACUGUGCACAUCUUGACGGUACCUAAUCAGAAAGCCACGGCUAACUACGUGCCAGCAGCCGCGGUAAUACGUAGGUGGCAAGCGUUAUCCGGAAUUAUUGGGCGUAAAGCGCGCGUAGGCGGUUUUUUAAGUCUGAUGUGAAAGCCCACGGCUCAACCGUGGAGGGUCAUUGGAAACUGGAAAACUUGAGUGCAGAAGAGGAAAGUGGAAUUCCAUGUGUAGCGGUGAAAUGCGCAGAGAUAUGGAGGAACACCAGUGGCGAAGGCGACUUUCUGGUCUGUAACUGACGCUGAUGUGCGAAAGCGUGGGGAUCAAACAGGAUUAGAUACCCUGGUAGUCCACGCCGUAAACGAUGAGUGCUAAGUGUUAGGGGGUUUCCGCCCCUUAGUGCUGCAGCUAACGCAUUAAGCACUCCGCCUGGGGAGUACGACCGCAAGGUUGAAACUCAAAGGAAUUGACGGGGACCCGCACAAGCGGUGGAGCAUGUGGUUUAAUUCGAAGCAACGCGAAGAACCUUACCAAAUCUUGACAUCCUUUGACAACUCUAGAGAUAGAGCCUUCCCCUUCGGGGGACAAAGUGACAGGUGGUGCAUGGUUGUCGUCAGCUCGUGUCGUGAGAUGUUGGGUUAAGUCCCGCAACGAGCGCAACCCUUAAGCUUAGUUGCCAUCAUUAAGUUGGGCACUCUAAGUUGACUGCCGGUGACAAACCGGAGGAAGGUGGGGAUGACGUCAAAUCAUCAUGCCCCUUAUGAUUUGGGCUACACACGUGCUACAAUGGACAAUACAAAGGGCAGCGAAACCGCGAGGUCAAGCAAAUCCCAUAAAGUUGUUCUCAGCUCGGAUUGUAGUCUGCAACUCGACUACAUGAAGCUGGAAUCGCUAGUAAUCGUAGAUCAGCAUGCUACGGUGAAUACGUUCCCGGGUCU
rnacentral:rRNA from 1 species